UGGGGAAUAUUGCACAAUGGGCGCAAGCCUGAUGCAGCCAUGCCGCGUGUAUGACGAAGGCCUUCGGGUUGUAAAGUACUUUCAGCGAGGAGGAAGGCGUUGUGGUUAAUAACCGCAACGAUUGACGUUACUCGCAGCAGAAGCACCGGCUAACUCCGUGCCAGCAGCCGCGGUAAUACGGAGGGUGCACGCGUUAAUCGGAAUUACUGGGCGUAAAGCGCACGCAGGCGGUCUGUCAAGUCGGAUGUGAAAUCCCCGGGCUCAACCUGGGAACUGCAUCCGAAACUGGCAGGCUAGAGUCUUGUAGAGGGGGGUAGAAUUCCAGGUGUAGCGGUGAAAUGCGUAGAGAUCUGGAGGAAUACCGGUGGCGAAGGCGGCCCCCUGGACAAAGACUGACGCUCAGGUGCGAAAGCGUGGGGAGCAAACA
rnacentral:rRNA from 1 species